UGGGGAAUAUUGGACAAUGGGGGCAACCCUGAUCCAGCAAUACCGCGUGAGUGAAGAAGGCCUUCGGGUUGUAAAGCUCUUUUACCGGGGAAGAUAAUGACGGUACCCGGGGAAUAAGCUCCGGCUAACUUCGUGCCAGCAGCCGCGGUAAUACGAAGGGAGCUGGCGUUGUUCGGAAUUACUGGGCGUAAAGGGCGCGUAGGCGGUUUUGUAAGUCAGAUGUGAAAGCCCCGGGCUUAACCUGGGAACUGCAUUUGAGACUGCAAGACUAGAGAUCGAGAGAGGAAAGUGGAAUUACGAGUGUGGAAGUGAAAUUCGUAGAUAUUCGUAGGAACACCGGUGGCGAAGGCGACUUCCUGGCUCGACCCUGACGCUAAAGCGCGAAAGCGUGGGGAGCAAACA
rnacentral:rRNA from 1 species